rnacentral:rRNA from 1 species
UACGGAGGGGGCUAGCGUUGUUCGGAAUUACUGGGCGUAAAGGGCAGGUAGGCGGUCGAGAAAGUCUGAGGUGAAAUCCCAGGGCUUAACCCUGGAACUGCCUUGGAAACUCCUCGACUGGAGGUCCAGAGGGGGAAGUGGAAUUCCAGGUGUAGCGGUGAAAUGCGUAGAUAUCUGGAGGAACACCGGUGGCGAAGGCGACAUCCUGGACCGGUAUUGACGCUGAGGCGCGAAAGCCAGGGGAGCAAAC